AACGAACGCUGGCGGCAGGCUUAACACAUGCAAGUCGAGCGCCCCGCAAGGGGAGCGGCAGACGGGUGGGUAACGCGUGGGAACGUACCCUUUACUACGGAAUAGCUCCGGGAAACUGGAAUUAAUACCGUAUGUGCCCUUCGGGGGAAAGAUUUAUCGGUAAAGGAUCGGCCCGCGUUGGAUUAGCUAGUUGGUGGGGUAAAGGCCUACCAAGGCGACGAUCCAUAGCUGGUCUGAGAGGAUGAUCAGCCACAUUGGGACUGAGACACGGCCCAAACUCCUACGGGAGGCAGCAGUGGGGAAUAUUGGACAAUGGGCGCAAGCCUGAUCCAGCCAUGCCGCGUGAGUGAUGAAGGCCUUAGGGUUGUAAAGCUCUUUCACCGAUGAAGAUAAUGACGGUAGUCGGAGAAGAAGCCCCGGCUAACUUCGUGCCAGCCGCCGCCGUAAAAC
rnacentral:rRNA from 1 species